CGCUUUUUGUAAAUAUAAAAAGUCUUACCUGCCCAGUGUGAAUAGUAGUAAUAAACGGCCGCGGUACCCUGACUGUGCUAAGGUAGCAUAGUGAUUUGCCUCUUAAUUGGUGGAUAGAAUGAAUGGUUUGACGAGAACAUAGCUGUUUCUAAUAUAUUAUACAUAAUUUAUCUUUUAGGUUAAAAUUCCUAAAUUUUAUUGAGGGACGAGAAGACCCUAUUGAAUUUUAAAAAAAUGUUAUAAUAAGACCUAUUAUUAAAAUCUAUUUAUUCUAACAAUAAUUUUGGUUGGGGCAACCAAGGAACAAAAAGAGCUUCCUAUUUAAUAAAAUAACAGCUAUUUUGGAUCCGGCAAUAAAAUGCUGAUAAAAGGAAUUAAUUACCAUAGGGAUAACAGCGUAAUUUUUCUAGAGAGGUCUAAUCGAAAGAGAAGCUUGCGACCUCGAUGUUGGAUUAGGAUAUUUAAAGGGUUGCAGGAGCUCUUAAUAAUUGGUCUGUUCGACCAUUAAAAUCCU
rnacentral:rRNA from 1 species